CUGGCAGUAAACGGUGCACGUUUGGUGUGGGCGCAAUCGACCGCGUCCGCGCCGGAGCUAACGCGUUAAACGUGCCGCCUGGGAAGUACGGUCGCAAGAUUAAAACUCAAAGAAAUUGACGGGGACCCGCACAAGCGGUGGAGUAUGUGGCUUAAUUCGAUGCAACGCGAAGAACCUUACCUGGUCUUGACAUGCAUUGUGUCUACGGUGAAAGCCGUAUAGGGUAGCAAUACCCGCUUUGCACAGGUGC
rnacentral:rRNA from 1 species